ACAGCCACAUCACAGUGAAACACCUGUUCAUGUAUGGUCACUGAAGUUAAGCAUCAUUAAGUCUGCUCAGUACCUAGAUGGGUGACCACUUGGGAAUACCAAA